rnacentral:rRNA from 1 species
UGGGGAAUAUUGGACAAUGGGCGAAAGCCUGAUCCAGCCAUGCCGCGUGUGUGAAGAAGGUCUUCGGAUUGUAAAGCACUUUAAGUUGGGAGGAAGGGCAGUAAGCGAAUACCUUGCUGUUUUGACGUUACCGACAGAAUAAGCACCGGCUAACUCUGUGCCAGCAGCCGCGGUAAUACAGAGGGUGCAAGCGUUAAUCGGAAUUACUGGGCGUAAAGCGCGCGUAGGUGGUUCGUUAAGUUGAAUGUGAAAGCCCCGGGCUCAACCUGGGAACUGCAUCCAAAACUGGCGAGCUAGAGUAGGGCAGAGGGUGGUGGAAUUUCCUGUGGAGCGGUGAAAUGCGUAGAUAUAGGAAGGAACACCAGUGGCGAAGGCGACCACCUGGGCUCAUACUGACACUGAAGUGCGAAAGCGUGGGGAGCAAACAGG